UAUCCCCUGCAGCGUUCGAGAGGUUCUGGGUUACUUCUUGAGCCUAAUUCCAAACCCCGGGAGCAGGUGCGUUGGUGAUGGUGAGCAUGUCCACCUUGAGUGGAAAGCCUGAUUCACCACCCAAGUUCCCACUUGAACCAUUCGGUUCAAGAGCGAAAGGACUUCACGGCGCAGGCGGGGGAUAC
rnacentral:other from 2 species